rnacentral:sRNA from 1 species
GAUCAUUAGCUAUUGAUUGGGUUACAUAUCUUUGCGCAGUUCAUUAUCUUCUCGUCUUAUUCAAUGGCAGAUGUCUGGCGAUAGACUGCAUCUAAUGGUCGGACGGUGUGAGUUCCAAGCAACUAACGCAAUUUCUUCUUGUCUCUUGAAUAUGACAGCGAUAGAUCACGUGUGGUGCUGUGAGUUCUCUGCCCCUAGUGAACGGGAUUACUGAGCGAUGCUUGAUGGAUGUUUUUUUUCUUUAGUGGAAUUCUAGGUCAAGUCAUUUACCCAUAAGGCCCUAUGGCUUGUUUUCUGUCAUGGGCGUCACCGAGUCCACACCCAGCUCAAUGAGUUCGCACACAGCCAAGACACACCAUUUGAUGUACUGACUGUGACAUUCACUAGCCAGAGGUGCCAAGUUUGACCAUUUCACAUCUGAGGUCAGAAUGAUCCUAAAACCCAAAUUCUAACCACCACCUUGAAUGUAAGGAGCUCUCACGUGACUCCCUGUUCACCAGACACUUUGAUUGUUCAUGACCAAUACGUGAGUUCCAAAGAAGGAAGAACUGAAUCCCAGACAAGUUGAGCAGAAAGACCUAACAACUGUUACAAUGAAAUGAGAAGACCACUACGUUUGAGUCCACUGCGUUUAGUUAUACCAUCAUCAUUGUAACUAACACCAAUAGAGUCACAUCUUCUCAUACACUAUUCAUUUACUAGUAAUGUCCCAGUCAAAUCAAAGUGACCUGUUUACAACGAAUCACCAACAACUGGUAACAUUUGUAACAAAGACUGUGGACUUGUUCCUUUUCUAGAUCUGUUAUUAACAGUGAAUUGUGAACAGAAAAAUUCUCAAGUGGAAUGGAAUGGAACAUAAGAUUCCCCAGAACUUCAACCAUGAAUGUCGAAUGAAAUUUUGGUGGAAAACAAAGUCUUAGGAUUUUUUUAAUACUGAGCUGAUACUAUUAGCGCUAUGGUUUACAAAUCAAAGUGACACUGAUGUACUGAGCUGAUGCUAUUAGCGCUAUGGUUUACAAAUCAAAGUGACACUUAUGUACUGAGCUGAUGCUAUUAGCGCUAUGGUUUACAAAUCAAAGUGAGACUGAUGUACUGAGCUGAUAUUAUUAACACUUUGGUUUACAAAUCAAAGUGACACUUAUGUACUGAGCUGAUACUAUUAGCACUAUGGUUUACAAAUCAAAGUGACACUGAUGUACUGAGCUGAUACUAUUAGCACUGUGGUUUACAAAUCAAAGUGACACUGUUGUACUGAGCUGAUACUAUUAGCGCUAUGGUUUACAAAUCAAAGUGACACUGAUGUACUGAGCUGAUACUAUUAGCACUAUGGUUUACAAAUCAAAGUGACACUGAUGUACUGAGCUGAUACUAUUAGCACUAUGGUUUUCAAAUUAAAGUGACACUGGUAUACUGAGCUGAUACUAAACUACUAUCUCUGUAUGUUACUAUUCAGUUCUUACUAAACAUCUUUUGGGUCUUCAAUACCUACACACUAAAGCACAUCAUGUCCCUUCAUAAAAAACUUCUGUCUGCCACUCCAGAGAACUGGACUCCUGUCAAACAACUGGACAGACAUGACAGCGGCCAGAGUGACACUAUUAGUACAGACAAUGGUCAGGA